rnacentral:rRNA from 1 species
UACGGAGGGUGCAAGCGUUGUCCGGAAUCACUGGGCGUAAAGGGCGCGUAGGCGGCUCGGUAAGUAGGGGGUGAAAUCUUGCGGCUUAACCGCAGGGCUGCCUUCUAAACUGUCGAGCUCGAGCACGGUAGAGGCAGAUGGAAUUCCCGGUGUAGCGGUGGAAUGCGUAGAGAUCCGGAAGAACACCAGUGGCGAAGGCGGUCUGCUGGGCAGUUGCUGACACUGAUGUGCGACAGCGUGGGGAGCAAACAGG